AUUUAAAUUCGUGCAUCAUGCUCAAAAGUGUGCUGCUCAUCUGUUUCUUUAUACUACUUUUGAAUGAAGCAUCUGUCCAGGAAGUAGUUCAGGGUUUUAUCGGAGGUUCUGCAGUUUUGCCGUGCCAUCCUGGGAACAGAAAACUUACAGUCAUCAUUGCACACUGGAGGUAU